UUCAAAAUAAAGAGAAGGCUCUCAACUCUCUUAACCCUUCCCCUCCUCCGGUCAUCGGACCGGCCAUCAACCGUCACGCCGGUCACCGGCCACCGACGGCGGCGCCGCCGUCCACAGUGGGCGAAAAAUCUUCCGGCCACCGAUCCUUGGCGGUGGCUUCCUCGGUCGUCCACAAUGUUGGAAAACCGAACACCGGUAAGUUCCUUCCCUCUUUUCCUUUUUUUUUAUUUUUUAAGUUUUUUUUUGUGUUAAAAUACUUGUAAAAUAGAUAAAAUGAACGAAUAGAAAGAAGAUCAAAAAUAAAAAUAAGGACAAACACCUUUUGAACUUGUUUUCUCCUUUUGAUUUCUCCCGAAAAUCUCUAUAAUACAACACCCCUUAAUACAAUCUCUUCUCUCCAAAAAUCAAUCGAUUCUUCCUCAAAAUACCAUCGAUCCCCCCUCUACAAUCGGUUCUAGUAUGGCUUUUAUAGCCAUUUACAAACUUUAUUAUAUAUAUUUGCUAUCUUUUCUUCUUCUUGUAUGGCAGGCAAACGGUGGUGGAGGCAUGUGCCACUUGGUAGUGGUUGGAAGUGGGUGGUUGAGGCUUGCGGCUAGGGUUUCUAAUUUUUGAAAAUAGGUUGUGGGCUAGGGUUUCUAAGCUUUUGGGCUUCUUUUAGGUUUUAAUAUUUGGGUUGUAAUUGGGUUGGUAGCUUUGUUUGUAAAUGGACUUUUAAUGGGCAUUUUGAUUUUUUUUUAUUUUUU
rnacentral:lncRNA from 1 species